UACGUAGGGGGCAAGCGUUGUCCGGAAUUAUUGGGCGUAAAGAGCGUGUAGGCGGCCAGAUAAGUCCGCUGUGAAAUCUCGAGGCUCAACUUCGAGCUGUCGGUGGAAACUAUCUGGCUAGAGUCCGGAAGAGGAGAAUGGAAUUCCUGGUGUAGCGGUGAAAUGCGCAGAUAUCAGGAAGAACACCCGUGGCGAAGGCGGUUCUCUGGGACGGUACUGACGCUGAGACGCGAAAGCGUGGGGGGAGCGAACAGG
rnacentral:rRNA from 1 species